CCUACGGGGUGCAGCAGUGGGGAAUAUUGGACAAUGGGCGAAAGCCUGAUCCAGCCAUGCCGCGUGUGUGAAGAAGGCCUUCGGGUUGUAAAGCACUUUCAGUGGGGAAGAAAGCCUUGGGGCUAAUACCCUCGAGGAAGGACAUCACCCACAGAAGAAGCACCGGCUAACUCCGUGCCAGCAGCCGCGGUAAUACGGAGGGUGCGAGCGUUAAUCGGAAUUACUGGGCGUAAAGCGCGCGUAGGCGGUCUGAUAAGCCGGUUGUGAAAGCCCCGGGCUCAACCUGGGAACGGCAUCCGGAACUGUCAGGCUAGAGUGCAGGAGGGGAAGGUAGAAUUCCCGGUGUAGCGGUGAAAUGCGUAGAGAUCGGGAGGAAUACCAGUGGCGAAGGCGGCCUUCUGGACUGACACUGACGCUGAGGUGCGAAAGCGUGGGUAGCAAACAGGAUUAGAUACCCCAGUAGUC
rnacentral:rRNA from 1 species